rnacentral:rRNA from 1 species
UAGAGAUACAGCGGAGGUUAGUCUGGGAGUACAGGUGGUGCAUGGCUGUCGUCAGCUCGUGUCGUGAGAUGUUGGUUAAGUCCCGCAACGAGCGCAACCCUUGUCUUUAGUUACCAUCAUUCAGUUGGGGGACUCUAGAGAGACUGCCGGUGAUAAACCGGAGGAAGGUGGGGAUGACGUCAAAUCAUCAUGCCCCUUAUGGCCUGGGCUACAAACGUAAUACAAUGGCGUAUACAAAGGGAUGCGAAGUGGUGACAUGGAGCUAAACUCACAAAGUACGUCUCAGUUCGGAUUGAAGUCUGCAACUCGACUUCAUGAAGCUGGAAUCGCUAGUAAUCGCGGAUCAGCAUGCCGCGGUGAAUACGUUCUCGGGGUUU